GAUGAACGCUGGCGGCGUGCCUAAUACAUGCAAGUCGAGCGAACAGACGAGGAGCUUGCUCCUCUGACGUUAGCGGCGGACGGGUGAGUAACACGUGGAUAACCUACCUAUAAGACUGGGAUAACUUCGGGAAACCGGAGCUAAUACCGGAUAAUAUAUUGAACCGCAUGGUUCAAUAGUGAAAGACGGUUUUGCUGUCACUUAUAGAUGGAUCCGCGCCGCAUUAGCUAGUUGGUAAGGUAACAGCUUACCAAGGCAACGAUGCGUAGCCGACCUGAGAGGGUGAUCGGCCACACGGGAACUGAGACACGGUCCAGACUCCUACGGGAGGCAGCAGUAGGGAAUCUUCCGCAAUGGGCGAAAGCCUGACGGAGCAACGCCGCGUGAGUGAUGAAGGUCUUCGGAUCGUAAAACUCUGUUAUUAGGGAAGAACAAAUGUGCAAGUAACUAUGCACGUCUUGACGGUACCUAAUCAGAAAGCCACGGCUAACUACGUG
rnacentral:rRNA from 1 species